UCCUCGUUACCGAGGCAGUCUUGCUAGAAAAAUAACUAGCAACGAGGGUUGCGCUCGUUAAAGGACUUAACCUAACAUCUCACGACACGAGCUGACGACGGCCAUGCAUCACCUGUCACCGAGUUCCCCCCGCAACACACUACUUCAUAGUAAUGUGCUCUGAGGGGCACUCUCUUGUUUCCAAGAGAUUCUCGGGAUGUCAAGCCUUGGUAAGGUUCUUCGCGUAGCCUCGAAUUAAACCACACGCUCCACCGCUUGUGCGGGUCCCCGUCAAUUCCUUUGAGUUUUAGUCUUGCGACCGUACUCCCCAGGCGGGAUGCUUAACGCGUUAGCUACGCUACUAAGCGGGUCGAUACGCCUAACAGCUAGCAUCCAUAGUUUACGGCGUGGACUAC
rnacentral:misc_RNA from 1 species